AAGUCGUAACAAGGUUUCCGUAGGUGAACCUGCGGAAGGAUCAUUGACACACUCAAUGCUACAAACAUGAUUUGUUGGUUUGUGCGUGUGCUGAUUCUCUGCUCGUCGUGUAACAGCGCCGAGAGAGGAGGAAAGGCGCACGCACAUACACAAUACAUUCAACCUUUAUCCUUUUCUCUCGCAAGAGUGAUGAGGAGAACAAACAUCCAAAAUAAAAAAUAAAACAAACACCAAAAAAUAUUCAACGAUGGAUAUCUUGGUUCCCAUACCGAUGAAGAACGCAGC
rnacentral:misc_RNA from 1 species